rnacentral:lncRNA from 1 species
GGAGGGGCAUGUCUCCUGACCCCCUAAGAGGAGCUUAUUUCCCAGGAGUGUUCCUGUGAGUUAAUUUCCAAGGCCAGCAUCGUUUCUCCACAGAUCCUUUUUAUUGCCAUGGAGACAGUCUGCACAGCUCUGUCCAAUGAAAAGUCUGAGCAGCAGGCACCAUGACAACCUGUGGGGGCUGGAAGGAGAGCUCCAAAGUACCUCGCAGACCAGAGCAAGGACGGACGCCUGGGGACAUUAUGAUUGUCACAAGUGUGGUUGAUGAAAGGAGAUGGCUUGACUCUUCACUGCCUUCUUCUCUUUGGCAGCUUGGAGUAUCUGCCAGCAGAGGCAGCAUCUCCUACAGAAGGAAGGCUCUAGCUGUAUGCUGUUGGUCCUGUGGUUCAACAAUGACACACGUGGAAAAGGACAAGGAUGUGAUGCCGAGAGGCAGGGGCCAUUGGGGUCAUCUGGAAGGCUGCCCACCAUGCUUAUUGACAUCAUCUUGCACGUGUCUUAGCUGUCAGUGUCUGCUUUGUCUUGUGGACUCGUGACCCACAGAGUUACAUUCUGUGGGGGAGAAUCCCGCCAAGGUUUUCAGUGUGGCCCUCGGUCACCGGGUACCAGCACUCAGUGGAACCUGCCCGUGUCUUCCAGCUG